UGGGGAAUAUUGCACAAUGGGCGCAAGCCUGAUGCAGCAACGCCGCGUGAACGAUGAAGGUCUUCGGAUCGUAAAGUUCUGUUGCAGGGGAAGAUAAUGACGGUACCCUGUGAGGAAGCCCCGGCUAACUACGUGCCAGCAGCCGCGGUAAUACGUAGGGGGCUAGCGUUAUCCGGAUUUACUGGGCGUAAAGGGUGCGUAGGUGGUCCUUCAAGUCGGUGGUUAAAGGCUACGGCUCAACCGUAGUAAGCCGCCGAAACUGGAGGACUUGAGUGCAGGAGAGGAAAGUGGAAUUCCCAGUGUAGCGGUGAAAUGCGUAGAUAUAUGGAGGAACACCGGUGGCGAAAGCGGCUCUCUGGUCUGUAACUGACGCUGAGGCUCGAAAGCGUGGGGAGCGAACAGG
rnacentral:rRNA from 1 species